rnacentral:rRNA from 1 species
GCUUUUUGUGUUAUUGUAUGAAAAGUAGUGUCUGCUCUAUGGUUUUACUUUAAAUGGCUGCAGUUUUUCUGUACUAAGGUAGCGCAGUACGUAGCCCUUUAAUUGGGGGAUAGAAUGAAUGGCGUGACUGGAGAAUGCUGUCUUGGUGUAGUAUAAUAGAAAUUUCCAUUUGAGUGAAAAGGCUUAAAUUUUUGUAAAAGACGAGAAGACCCUAUCGAACUUAAUUAUUGAUUAAGUAAUUAUUAUUGAGUGUAAAUAUUGUAUGGUUUACGUUUGAUCCACUUUAUUCUUGAAUUUUUGUUGGGGUGACAAAGGAUUAAAAGAACCAUUCUUUUUUUAUAUAAAGACCCCGUAUGAUGGGCUGAAGCAAAAGUUACCGUAGGGAUAACAGCGUAAUAUUUUUCCAACAGUUCCUAUCGAGGAAAAAGCGUGCGAUCUCGAUGUUGAAUUAAGGAAACUACAUGGCGCAAAUGCUGUGAAAGUGAAACUGUUCGUUUUUUGAUUCCUU